rnacentral:lncRNA from 1 species
AAAACCAUAAAACUGGGGAAGAACUCUAACUCUAUCGGAACGUCUAAGAGGUAAGGAUUCGUCAAUCGGUUCAACCGGAGUUUCCUCCUCGGGUUGAGUGCCAGCGGUAGAGGUUCCUUCAUCUAUCGACUCUUGAAUCUCUUCAAGUUCGAUUUGCCUCCCACUGUCUCCUUGGCUUAUGAGUUCUCGCUCUCGGAAAACUCCUCUCCUCGCAACGAAGACAACAUUGUCCUUCGGUCUAUAGAAGAGAUAUCCAAAGGAUGUCUGCGGGUAGCCGAUGAAAAUACAUCGCUCACUUCGAGGUUCAAGCUUGUCGUGAGUAUCUCGUCUUACGAAAGCCUCGCAACCCCAAACCUUGAUAUGUGCCAACGAGGGAGCUUUCCCUGUCCACAUCUCGUGAGGUGUUUUGGCAACCUUCUUAGUAGGGACUCGGUUAAGGAUAUGGGCGGCAGUCUCUAAGGCAUACCCCCAAAAAGAGAUAGGUAGUGAAGCACGACUCAUCAUAGAGCGAACCAUAUCCAAUAAGGUUCGAUUACGCCUUUCUGCCACACCAUUCAACUGCGGUGUCCUAGGAGGCGUCAAUUGUGAAACUAUUCCACACUCCUUGAGAUAAUCGUGGAAUUCAAGACUUAGGUACUCUCCUCCUCGAUCGGAUCGAAGCAUCUUGAUUUUCCUGCCCAAUUGAUUCUCCACUUCAUUCUUGAACUCUUUGAACUUUUCAAAGGUGUCUGACUUUUGCUUGAUUAAGUAGAUAUACCCAUAUCUACUAUAGUCAUCGGUAAAAGUCACAUAGAAGCGGUUCCCAUCCUUCGUGGUUGAUCUAAACGGUCCACAUACAUCGGUAUGUAUUAGGUCCAAUAGACCCUCGCCCCUUUCACAUGUACUCGUGAAGGGUGACUUAGUCAUCUUUCCAAGCAAACAAGACUCGCAUGUGUCAUCUUCCCUAAGGUCGAAUGACUCCAACACUCCAUCCUUUUGGAGUUGGGCUAUGCGUUUCUUGUUGACAUGUCCAAGACGACAAUGCCACAAGGAUGCUUUAUCCAUACUAUUGGAAGAAUCUAUGUUCAAAACAUCAUUUCCUAAGUUAUCAACAAUCAUAACAGUUUCAUAAAUUCCAUUACAUGGUAUAGCUUCAAAAUAAAAGACACCAUUUAGAUAAGCCAAAAUAGAACCAUUCUCAUUAUUAAAAGAAAAUCUAAAACCUUGUCUAAACAAACCAUGAAAUGAAAUGAUGUUUCUAGCCAUUUCUGGCGAAUAGCAACAAUUGUUCAAAUCUAAACAUAAACUAUUCCUAAGCACUAAAGAAUACACUCCAAUCUUGGUCACAGGCGACGAUCUUCUGUUCCCCAUGAUUAGAUUGAUCCUUCCUUGCUCCACAUCCCUACUUCUUCUUAGUCCCUGCACAUUAGAACAAAUGUGGUAACCACAACCGGUAUCAAGAACCCAAGAAAUAGCAUGAUUAGAAUCGUUAGAUUUAAUUGUGUAUAUACCUGCGAAAGAUGGCUUGAUCUUUCCUUCCUUGAUGGCUUGCAGGUACUCUGGGCAGCUUCUCUUCCAAUGUCCUAUCUUGUGGCAGUGGUGGCACUCUGCCUCCUUUGGGUUAGGGCAGGGCUUAGCAGGAUCAACUUUGGUCCCACUAGAAGAGGCACCAUCUCGGGCUUUAACCUUACGAUAGUUCUUAGACGAAGCCUUCCUCUUCUUUCCCUUUCCUUGUCCAAUAGCCAAGACAGGAGCAGCGGGCGGAUUGGGAGUUGGUGCAACAGACUUGUCCUUGAAGUUGCUCUCAGCGACCCUCAAGAGACCUUGGAGUUUGCUUAGGGUGACCUCCUCUUUGUUCAUGUGGUAGGUCAUCCUAAAUUGAUUGUAGCUCGGAGGCAAAGAGUGAAGCACCAUGUCGAUCGCCAAGUCUUCCCCAAAGUCAACAUUCAACUUGCGAAGACGGUCGACAUACCUUUGCAUCUUUUGCAGGUGCACGGUAAGAGACUCUCCAUGACCCAUCUUAGCGGAAAUCAUGUUAGUGAAAAUCUCAUAACGCUCUUGUCUCGCGUUUUGGUGGUAUCUCUCCAAUAAGUCUUGAUGCAUCUCGUACGGGUACAUGUCCUCAUAGGACUUUUGGAAUUCGGAGUUCAUGGUGGCUAUCAUGAUGCAAUGUACCUUCGUUGCAUCGCGCUCAUGAGUUUCAAAAGCGGUCAUUUCAGCCGGAGUAGCGAUUUCAGGGUUGAUUUUCUCGAGCUUCUCAUCGAGGACAUACUCCUUAUCCUCAUAGCGAGCAAUGGUGCGAAUGUAUCUUAUCCAUUCGCUAAAGUUCGUCCCAUCGAAAGUGACCUUUUGACAAAGGCUCAUCAAUGUGAAAGAACUAGCAGCAGCGUUGUUUGCGUUCGACAUCUACAAAUAGAAAGGACAAAGAUAGAUUAGAAUAUGAAUCCCUAAUUAUCACCCAAUAAGAAAAAUUAGGGCUAGGAUCCAACAACAAUAUUUACAUAUUAGAAAAGGGAUGCCGUAAUCUAACAUGCAAAUAAUAUGAAGGUAAGUGAAUGACGAUUCACUAAUUCUCCACCAUAAAAACAUAACUUUAAGUCCUAAAUGUAUUGAGAAUUCCUAGGUUCGGAUGAGAUUCAUUGAAACUAUUCAAUGGCAUGUUUAAAUCUCGAUAUGCCCCUCUUGUUUGUGACUGGGAUACCGAGGAUCACAAAGCGGGUGUGAAUUACCAUGCAAAUUCACAUGGUGCCUUCAUUGUAACGAUCACCUAUUCGAUGUGCCGGUAAACCACACACGCUCCAUCGAACUAUGAUAAACAAUGAAUCACCCUUUGCCACCUUUGCUUAGAACCAAUUAGUGUGCCGGUAAACCACACACGCUCCACUAACUUCUUAGCAAGGGUGCAAAGUGUAAUUUCAUGGGAUUGCAUCAAUUCACUUUUCCUAAAGUAACUAAGAUUGGGAAAUUUUAAAAUAUGUGUAGUUACUUUGUAUUUCUUAUUAUACUUUUAAUGAGAGGAUGAGGUUGCCCUAUCCUACCCGUUCGGCUAACGACCCUCCACCGAUCAAGCAAGCGGUGGGUGUGAGUGUACACCCAUUAAGCACCAUUUUAUAGGCCGCAACCUUAUACCCACCUUAUAGAUCGGCUUCGUGAAUGAGGCCUACUAACGGUAAGACUAGCAUUUUAGUUAUAUAUAUAUAUAUAUUAAUCUUGUAAUAUUAUAUUAGUAUAGGGUUGUAUUUUAAACUUUUAAAAAUCUAGGGUUUGAAAUUUAAAUUGUCUAAAUUAAAACUUUUAAUCACAAAACAUAAAUUUCAAAACUUGAGGACAAGUUUUAAACAUUUAAAACAUGGAGGAUCAAAUAACAAAUAAUUUUAAUUAACAAUUAAUUCCAUAAUUAUCCAUAUUUGAUUUAUUCAAGAUUUCUUGCAAGAUAAUUACCAAUUUAAUCAAAAUAAUUAAUUAAUUAUCAUAUAAGGAAAUUAAAUAUUUUAUUAGUUGAUAAAUAUCUUUAAUUAGAUCAAGAUUAUAGUCAUAUAUAUCAAAAAAUCGGAUUAGGGUUGAUCUAAUAUGAUAAAGGCAAGUUUCCAUAAGAUAAAUACCAAAAAAUCCCGAAUCUGGCCCUUCCUGACACUCGGACUCGCCGAGUACCCAUUCUGGACUCGCCGAGUCAAGCCAUCUCGCCGAGUCCACUAUGGGACUAGCCGAGUCCAUGACUCAGAAACACAAAAAUCGAAUUUUGCAGUUUAGUUUCAAACAAAUAAGCAACAAUUUAAUGAAAACCAAGCUAGGCUCUGAUACCACUGAUGGGUUUUAGCCAUAAGAACUUUCCUAUGUGCGCAUGCAAAACCCUAAUGCUUGGAUCUAGGCUUUCUAAUUAAACAUGCUUUGAAUCCAAGACUUCUAAUGACUAAUUAGGUAUAAAAACAAUACAAAAUCAGAUCUAGAAGUUUACCUUUGAAUCUCUUGUUUGAUCUUGUUGUCUUGGAGCUCUAGAGUCACAAUUGUCACUCCUCUAAUGGCUUACAAACACCAACUAGCAAAGAGGAUGAUUUGAGAGAGAGGAGAGGGACUAGAAAUCGGCCAUGGUUUCUUUUCUUUAAAAGAGAUGUCGAUUCCCCUUGCUCUAGGGGUCUAUUUAUACUUGUAGACUCCUAGGGUUUCACCUUUAAACCCUAGCUGGAUAAUCUUUCCUUAAAGCAAUCCAAAUCCUUACCAUAGAUAAGCCUUGGACGAUUUUGAGCUAUCCCAAGCCCUAGAAUCCAUCCAACCCUUAUCCAUUAAGGAUUUACAGUCUAAAGUGUAACUAUCAAACAACUGACAGUUUAUACCCUCUUAUUUAAUUAAUCUCUUUAAGUCACCAAAUUAAUACUAAUUAAUCUAUGACUUAUAUUAAUCAAAUAACAAUAUUAUUAUUCCUUAUAUUAUUCUCAUAAUAUAUUAAUAAUAUUUAUUCUCUCAUAAUAAAUCAUCCUAUCAAGUUGUUAUGGUGAAGGCAACCCAAAAGGACCAUGCACAAUCGGGUCAAAUACUCGGCUAAUAUAGUUGCAGCCUUAGACACUAUUCCAACAACACGAUGCAUAAUGUCUUACAUAAAGAUACGAUACUCUAUCAAUCUUCUGCCAUAAUAUUUUAUGUGUCACAUUCUUACAAUUCGAACUAUGAAGAGGGAUGUCGUAAUCAUAAUCGAAAUUUAAGAACACACUAUGUAUCCUUUGACUAAAUUUAUUAAAAUUUCUCAAUCUAAGCUUUAGAUUUUGAAAUGAAGUAUAAUAUUCUCUCCCUUAAUUAUAGCAAAACAACUUUUCAACCUUUACGACUUUGCAAAGUAUAACUCUUGUUUUCUAUAAUUAAUAUUGCUAACUUGAAAUACUUGACUUAAUACUCAUACAAGAAUAACAUUUAUGCUCCCACUAUCAUGAUGAUUAUUAUCAUAUAAGCAUAAUACUUAUGCUCUCACUAGCUUUGACAUGUAUUCAGAAAACAGCUGAACUUCCGGAAAACAAUACCUACUGAAUUUCUUAAGUUCAUAUUUCUAAUACCCAAUUGCCAAAUCUCACAAUUCGAACUAUGGAAAGGGAUGUCGUAACCAUAAUCAAAUUCGAGAAUACAAUUUUCACAAUUGUUAUCUUCUUAAAAUCUCUCUUAGUGAAAGCAUUUCCUCACAGUCAUUUUCAUGAAGGAGGGAAUUUUAUGACACUUAGAUUUUAUGGUGUAUGUGUUCCUAUCCAUGUAAAUUUGCCAAAACCAAAGUUUGUGACAAAUCCAAACUCAUAUGGACCAAACUCUCUUAAUCUUGAUUUCUUGCCUUAUGGUAACACGAGUGCCCACCAUGUCUUCCAAACAGUUUAGCAACAUAUCCUUACAUAUCAAUGUACUUUCCAUCAAUCAAGGUGCUUUGUCUUUAUGCAUUCAAAUGAGAACUCACAGAACCCACAUGCAUAAUUAACUCAAUUGGAAUGGCACAUAAACAAAAUAAUGUCAACACGAUAGGUUAUAAACCUCAAGUUGUGUCCUAGUGAUGAUUAAUUAGGUUUAUUCUUGAUUUGUCCUCGAAAAUUUUCAAGACCAUCAUUAAGACUCCCACUGACUCCUUGACAUAUAAGGUUCACUUGUCAAGAAACUUUUUCUUGAUAAACAAAUAUUCAAGAGUUGGUGUAGCUUUUAUCAAGACAAAACACUUCACAAAAUUGGUCCUAGUUGGUCUUUGUCUUAUCCAAGACAUCACAACUUACCAAUUUCAAAUGUGCAAGAAUAAGAAAACCUUUUUCCAAAUUCCACAUUUGAUGAAUGUUAUAAACCUUCUUUAGACUUGUCACUCAAUGUCACAAUCUUAACUCUAAGACUUGUUUUUGGAACGAAGUAUGAUUGACUUCUUGAUUUAACCAUUUCUUCAAUUCUCGAUUCCUCUUCUCAGACAUCAAUUUCACUAAGACUCACUUAGAGGAUCAAUUGAGAUAUGGUUCUUAAUCAUUAAGAUCUAUCAUAAAACAUAAUAAAAGGUACUCUCCCUUCUUCUUAGAAUAGAGAAACUUUUAUCUUUUUGCCUACUUGAUUCUUCUUAUUCGUUCUGCUAUUGAUUGAAACUCUUUCAAUCAACUGAGAAUUAUACUCAACUUAUAAGUAUAACCAUAUUCACUAAACUUUAGUAAAUCAUGACGAAUAUCUUUGUCACUCUUGUGGUAGACUUGAUCAACAUACGACCUAGUGUACUCGAUCUCCUAGUCCUUCAAUUGACACUUUGUCAAAGAAUUAGUCUAAAUUUCCCAAAUGUGAAAGUUUUCAUUCAUCAUAAAAUACUCACUGCAUGAUUCCAAGUUUCUGUCCAAUUGAAACUUGGGCGAUGAGAAACUCUCCCUAUUUGGUAAAUUCUUGUCAUUUCCACAAAUAACAUAAUUAAGAAUCAAAUCCAUUUUUGCUAAUAAUAGAAACCUUCAAACAACAAUUUUUCAUACACGCCAUUUCUAGGAUAAAUAAAUAAUAUAAAAAUCAAAAUUUAUUUUAUUGCGGAAAAAUUUGUCCUUACAAUGCAAUUCAAUUGAAAAACUAUGUUAAUACAUAUUUCUUAGCAAUCUAUUCUAACUCCAAGUAGUAGCUCAAGAAUCUAAUCUUCAAGCAAUGUGAUCAAAUCCGUUUCUUCACGAUUAGAUUCAGCUUACUUCUUCCCUUAAGCUUCCUCUCUUUUCUUCGAUCCUACAAAACAUCAAAAUGUAAUCUCAUCACAUCAUGUAUUAAGAAUCUAGAAUAGGAACUUAAAAGAGUUAGUUAAUGGAUUUCACCUGAAGUAGAGCCAUACGUUUUGACUCUCCCAUCUCUUAUAUCUCUCAGGUAAAUAGGGAAACUUCGUCUCCAAUGCCCCUUAUCUUGGAAAUAAAAGUAAAUGGAUUCCUUUUGAAUGACACAAGGAACUAUCUCAGAAUUUACCUUUUCUGGAUCUCCAAUGUCACCAUUUUCAAUGUCCAUUGAAGUUUGGGAGUUUGAUUCACCAGACAAAUUUGCUUGACCAGCUCGCCAAAUCAUCACUGAUUCAGCAGCUACAAGCAAAUAGGUGAGAUCAAUGAGGGUCACGUCGUGAUCCAUCAUAUAGUACUCUCUAACGAACUCACCAUAUGAUUCAGGAAGCGACUGAAGAACCCAAUCAACAGCCAACUCACUUGAAAUCUUGACACCCAACAUCCUUAACCUAUCAAUGUGUGACUUCAUCUCUAAGACGUGUGCACACACAGGUUUCCCAUCUUCAUGUUUACUUGUCAAAAGGACUUGAGUGAGCUUGAACUUUUCAAUCCUUCGAACUUGUGGGUUAGGGAGAACAAUUGGAGGAGGUGGAGGAAGUGAAACAUGAUCUCUUGUUCCUCGAUCAUAUCGUGGAACAUCAUCUUCAUUUGGAAAGCUUGUUCCAUGGGAUUUGGGAAGACCAUGAUUGUCAUAACUAGACAUCUAGAAAACGGGAGAAAAUUUAAGUUAAUUUGAUUAGAAUCCUUGAUGUGACACCCAAAUGAAACAUCGAGGCUAGGAUCCAACACAAUGCUCUACAACCUAGAAGAGGGAUGUCGUAAUCUAGUUGCAGAAUAUUUGAAGGUAGGUAAAUGACGAUUUACCAAUUUCCACCAUGAAAAAAGAAAAGGAAAUUUAAGUUUCAAACGUAUUGAAAACUCCUAUAUCUUUUGAGAUUCAUUGAACUUUUCAAUGGCAUGUUUAAAUCUCGAUAUGCCCCUCGAUUUGUGACUGGGAUGCCGAGGAUCACAAAACAGGGUGUGAAUAACCAUGCAAAUGUACAUGGUGCCCCCAAUGUUACAGUCGCCUGUUCGAUGUGCCGGUUAACCACACAUGCUCCACCGAACUAUGAAAAACAUCGAGUCACCCUUUGCCACCUUUGCUUAGAACUCAAUUAGUGUGCCGGUUAACCACACACGCUCCACUAACGUCUUAGCAAGGGUACAAAGUGUAAUUUCAUGGAAUUGCAUCAAUUCACUUUUUCCUAAAGUAACUAAGAUUGGGAAUUUUGUAAACAUUUAGUUACUUUAUUAUUCAUUAUAUUUUUAAUGAGGAGAGGGUUUGCCCUAUCCUACCCGUUCGGCUAACGACCCUCCACCAAUCAAGGAAGCGAUGGGUGAGAGUGGACACCCAUUAAACGGCCAUUAUAUAGGUCAUAACCUUAUACCCCCCUUAUAGAUCGGCUUCGUGAAUGAGGCCUACUAACGGUAAGACUAGCAGUUUAAGUUAUACAUAUAUGAUAUUAAACUUUUAAUGUUAUAUAUAGUAUCAGGUGUAUUUUACACUUUUAAAAUACUAGGUGGUUUAAACUAUUAAUUAUACCUUUAAUUUAAUUAGUCUUAAACCUUUUAAUUUAUGGCUUAUUAAUUCUUUCUUUUAAUUAAACUUGUAAUUAAAUCAAUAAACCACAAGGGUGUAAAUUUGAACCUUUCAAAAUUAGGGUUUUAGAAUUUAGANNNNNNNNNNNNNNNNNNNNNNNNNNNNNNNNNNNNNNNNNNNNNNNNNNNNNNNNNNNNNNNNNNNNNNNNNUUUUCAAAACAUAAGCAAGAACAUUCUAGAUCAAAUUACAAAUAAUAAUAAUUAACCAAUUAAUUAGUAAUUAUCUAAAUAUGACCUAAUUCAAUUUCUUGCAAGAUAAUCUAUCAAAUAAUUCAAAUAAAUCAAGUUUAUCACAUAAGGAAAUGAUUAUCUAAUUAAUUUGACAAUUAUCUUUUAUUUUGGUAAGGAUAUCUUUUAAAUUAAACAAUUAAUUUAACCUAAUCCCUUAAAUCCCCUAGAAUUCGAAAUUAUGGGAUGGGAUAAUUCAAAAUCUUUAAUUACCAAAUUCAAACAUUUAAAGGAUAAUUACAAGAUAUGGCAUUAUCCAAAUCCCUAAAAUUUAGGAUCUAAUCUUGGGAAUGAGGGAAUUUUGAAAUCCAAGGGUUGGAUAACCCUAUAUUUCGAAAUCUUGGAGGCUAAGGAAAGGGUUUGGGAAACCCUAGUCAAAUUUCGAAAAUCAGGGUUUAAGAACCCUAAUUUUUGAAAAUUCAUGCCUCCUAGGGUUUAUUGGCCAUAAACCCUAAUAUGUCAAGUUCAUACAUUUGAAUAAUGCUAAUUGAAAACAAAAACCAAUGGCUCUGAUACCACUGAUGGGUUUUAUACAAACAAUCCUAUGUGUGCAUGCAACCCUAGAGUUGGAUCUAUGUUUUCACUAUUAGUUAUACAACUUUAUGAACACAAAAAGAAACCUGGCAUGCUACUACUAUUUUCGAAAUCCACAUAAAAGAAUAUAAUACAUACCUUUUGUUAUUAUAUAGUAAUAACAACUAGUUCCUUGAAACUCCUUAGCUUUGAAAGCAAGUACCACAAGUGUAGUACCUCUAAUGGCUCACAAACACCAAGAGCAAGAGGAUGACUUAGGAGAAGAGGAUAAGCACCCAAAAACGCCUAGAAACCCUAAGGAAACUCUUUUCCACGUUUUUGGUGCUCUAGGGGUCCUUAAAUAGUGAGGCUAUUAGGGUUAUCAAACAAGGAAACCCUAAUUUGACUGCUUAGGCCCUAAGCAGCCCAUGGACUCCCUUGUUAGAGGCCUUGGACGAUUUCUAAUGGGUUUCCCCAUAAAAUUCGUCCACCCCUCUAAUAUGGAGUCCAUUAGCCCAAUAUUCAACUAUCACACAAUUGACAAUUCUAGUCCCCUUUAUUUAAUUAAUGUCUUUUAGCCACAAAAUUAAUUCUUAUUAAUUCUUGACUAUUAUUAAUUAAACAAUAUGAUUUCUCUUUUAAUAUAUUAUUCAUAUAAUAUAUUAAUAAAUCAUAAUUAAUCCUCUUUCUCCAUAAAUCAUCCUAUCAAGUUGCUUUGAUGAAGGCAACCCAAAAGGACCAUGCACAAUCGGGUCAAGUACAUACCAAAAUAGUUAUGGACUUAGACACUAAUCCAACAUAUAUAUGUUUAUCAGACAUGAUAGUAAUGAACGAGUCAUCUCAUAUAUGAGUGUGGUGAGAGAAAGAUUAGGUUUGAGAUUUUCUUAUAUUAUUUAUUUUAUAUUUAAUUUAUAUAAUAAUAAUAAAUAAAUAAACUCUUGGAUGUGGGACCCAUAUGUUUUUAAUAAUAUUUUUUAAUAAAUAAAUAAGAAAUAAAUAAUUAACAGAUUAAAAAAAAAGGAUAAUACAAUCUUUUAGGUAUAUGAAGGACCAAACGUGCAACAAAAAUACAUUUUAGUGAUCGUUCGAGUAAAAAAAACAUUAAGAUUAGAAUAGAUAGAUUACCUCAAACCAAAUGGAUCAUCUUGUAAUUUACUCUUAACACAAUUUAAAAUUGUGUCUAGGGAAAUCAUAAGUUAUGGUCUAUAAACAAUAGAAAAGCCCAUUUUUUUUGUUUAAAACAAAUAGUUUUAUGUAAAAUAAGAUAAAAAUAAAUAAACCCAAUCUUUUUUUUUUUUUUGGUAUCAGACGACAUGCACGACUACAAAAGAGAAAAGAAACAGUAGGCAUAAAAAAAUAUGUAUAAAUAUAAUAAAUACAUAUAAAACAUCGUGUUUAUAGAUUUUGGUAUUUUAAAAUUUUUUUUAAGUUUUUUUAUUUAUACGUAUUAUUACAUAUAUGAAAAAUACGUAUUUUAAAGUAUAAAAUAUAUAAAUACAAUUGUGUAGUCUUUUUUAUAUAUAAAAAACAAUUCCACUUAAAACCAAAGAUAAACAACCAAUGUUUUCAAAUCAUAUCCAAGAUAAUCAGAGUAUCAAGUCAAUCUCUCAAAACAUAGAACAAUAUGAGGAUGUAUACAAUCAUGCAUUCGACGUGUCUUUAUCAUUAGAAGUACCUGAAAACAUUGAAAUCAACAACUGUAAAGCAAGACUGNCAACCCCCCCCCCCCCCCCCCCCCCCUAAAAAAAAACACAUCACACAACAAUACAUAAACAAUGCAUGUGCAUUGGGCCCACAAUAUAAAACUAAAUUGCCCCUGGGUUUGUUGUCCUACGGCAUAAAGUCGUACCGCCUCAACCCAACCGUACUAUGUCGACAUAUGUAAACAACAAAUAAAUGACCAGCAGCUACAGGUAAUCAUUCAGAUUUACCAAUCAAACAAACCACUAUAGCAUAGCAACAUUCUAUACACAAGGGUACAUAACACAAUCUAGUAGGCUAGCAUUGGUGCCUUCAACCCAUAGGUAUAGUGAGAAACUCACCUUGUAGUCUAAAAGAUAAAAGUAAUGAUCACCAAUCCGAUAACCAGCUCUAUAGGUCACCUACACAUCAAACAAUGACCAUUCCACAAACUACAGCCCAAAAUCCUAUGUUUGACCUAAAGUCAAACUUGGUUAAAAAGUCAACGAUUCAGUCAAAGUCAAUACUCAAAAAGUCAUUCAGUUGGUCGCCACGUCGUAACCACUCUUUGGUUACAUCGUGGCACAAUAGAGAAAAAAUAGUCGCAGAUCAUAUUUCGUCACAACGUGACAACCAAAGUGUCACGUCAUGAGAAACGCUAUGGGCAGCUUAAUCCAUUUAGUUGUUAAUCCUUUUUGUGCACCAAUCCGUACUUUCCAGAAGGAUUUUAUACUCCUAAAAGAUAAUAAAAAUCGGUACUUUAUAGAUAUACAUGUCCAAUGCAUGUCUUGAACUUUAUAGAUAUACAUGUCCAAUGCUAAGUCAAAAAUGAUGUCAAAUAGGGUCAAGAUCACAUGCAUGAGACCAAAACUCUAUCAAACUUCAGAUCCAUCACAUCUAACCACAAAGGGGCCCUGGGGAUCCAUAAAGUUUGCCACUUUAUGGAACCCCAACACCCCAACUAGCCAAAACAUGAAGAACACACAUGAAAAAUCUAGAUCUAAGCACUUAAGAUCAUAAAGCAUGGAACUUUUGAAUACUCACAAAGGUCCAGAGUGUGAGAAAACAUGAUGGUGAGGCUUACAUGUUGAGAUGAUGCAUCAAAACUCUUCCUCUUCUUCUUUGUAGCUAGGAAUCACCAAAAAUGGAGUUCAAGGUUCAACUUAUAAGAGAUUAGGCUUUUGGAGGUUGAAGGGUGGUAAUGGGGACUGAGGGUGAGGGUGAGCAAACCUGAUGUGCAAAAUUAUAUCUAUCAACUUUUAAAUUUAUAAACAUGACUAACUUAACUAAUUUAUGUACCUAUAAAUAGUGUACCUAGUCAGAUUAUAAAAUAGAUUAGGUAAUCUUCCAAAACCUCUUCUUUUUUAGUAAAUUCUUCAAAAUCCUCAUGUCACUUGAUAGGCACCCAAUACUUAUUCAAAGACAUGGUCUUCGAUUGUAAUCUUCCAUAAUCUCUCGACUUUUUUUCAAUUAAGCUUCUUUACUACUUCCAUUAUGCAACCAUAAGAGUAAGAUCUAAAGAACACAUCAUCAUUCGGUUAAACCUAAAUAAACUUAAUCAAGAAAACAAAAACAAAAAAUCAAGAAGGAAAAGGAAAUGUACACUCAAAAAUAGGUUUAGGUCAUUUUUAGUAACUAAAUUUUUUUGGAUGUUUUAUUUGGUCAUUUUACUUUAUUUAAGUUAUCAUUGGUCAUUGAACUUGUUUAUUUUGUUUAUUUUGGUCACUCUAACAGAGGAUAGCAAGUAUAUAAAAUUGAACGGCAUUGUUAAGGUUAUAAUGAGUCGUUGAAUUUUUCUGGGUGUUUUAUUUUAGUCAUUAUACUUUGUUUAAGCUAGCAUUGGUCACUCAUUUUUUUUUAUUUUUUUCAUUUUAGUCACUCUAGUUUUUUUCUUAUUAUUUAUAUAAAAUUAAUAAAUAAAUUAAAAAAAAAAAACCCUAUUAUUUUUUCAUUUUUCCACAACUAAACUUACUACAUCAAUUAUUUAGAGUAAAUUAUAUGAAUAAUCAUGUGAUUUAUGGUAGGGUACGCAUUUAGUCGUUAACUUUUUUGACUCGAAAGCUCCCAAUAACUUCAAAAGAAGACUAUUGUGAUUUACGGUCAGAUGCACAAUUAGUCACAAAGAUUAUUCAUAUAAUUUACUCUAGAAUAAUUGGUGUAACAAGUUUAGUUGUGGAGAAAUGAAAAAAAAAUGUAGUUUUUUAAUUUUUUUAUAAAUGAUAAUAAAAAAAAUAGAGUGAUUACAAUGAAAAAAAUAAAAAUAAAUAAAAAUAGUUCAAUGACCAAUCGUAGCUUAAACAAAGUAUAAUGACUAAAAUAAAACAUCAAGAAAAAAUUCAAUGACUAAUUAUAACAUUAACAAUGUUAUAUAUCGGCUAUCAUCGGUUAGAGUGACCAAAAUGACCAAAAAUAAACAAGUUUAAUGACCAGUGUUAGCUUAAAUAAAGUAUAAUGACCAAAAUAAACACUCAUAAAAGUUCAGUUACUAAAAUGACGUAAACCCAAAAACAAAAAAGUCGUGUUGCCAUUCGAUAAGCGCUUCUUUUUUUAAAGAGUCGUGAGCCGGACUCCUUCUUACUCUAUGUUGUUGCGGUUGGGAGUGGGGUCUCCCUUUUCUCAUUUUUUCUCUCCAUCUUCUUUUGCACGCCUUAACUCACCAUAUGUACGCCUUUUCAAGUUUUCCUUCUUUUUCUGGUUGGUGCUUUCCUCGUGUUUGCGUUUUAACCCUUUUUCUUUUCUCAACAAGUCAUGUCUUCCCUUUUUAUUCGAUUGGUUCAUGUCCUUCCACUUCCAUCAUGUCAAAGGUUGGCUUGUUUAUGUCUUGUUCAAUCUAUUUUUCGCUCAUUUCCUCAUCAUCAUUGGAAUCAAAAUUUUCUUCUUAAAUUCCCUCCUCCACUUGAGUCUUGGGUGUAAUGAACGCGAAUACUUCAAAAGUAUAGGAAUUGAAGCUCGUGGCUUGGUAAGCUUAACUUCUUCAACUUGAGGCUUCUUCCAUGCUUUGAUCUCUUCCUCCAUCAAUUUUUCUAUUUCCUCUAAUUCAUUGAGAUUUUCUUCUACUUCCUUCUCUUCUUUGACACACUCCAAAUCAUUCACUCUUUACACCUCAUCCAAAGGUUUCUCAUGACUCACUUCUUGGCUCAUUUCAAAAGUUAUUUCUUCCUAUUUUCCUCGAAGUGUAAGCUUUGAAUCAUGAAUGUCAACGAGGGCAUGUGAUAUCCCCAUUUUUACUGCCAGAAAAGGCCGGUUUUGUUUAUGCUUAAUAAAUCAGAGUAUCCUUUUUAAAAAAAUUACUUUGCGGAAUUUGUUCCAAAAAUAUGAUAAUAAUAUUAAAUGUAUUGUAUUUAUCAAACGCGGGAUGUCAUUGUUAAUAUAAGAAACAUAAGCAUAGACGAAGACCUACAGCAUCUCUUUACAGUAAUAGUCUAUAUCUCUUUUGAAUCUCUCAGCAGAUACCUAUAUCAUCAUAUAUAAUUACAUGUGAUACAAUAAACUGAGAGGAUCAGGUUGCGAAACCUAGUGAAUACAUAUAGGAUUUUCAACCCACAAUAAUAUAAUUUAUCUCUUUAUAUAAUUCACACCAAACAGUUAACCCGAUUACCCAUUCCCGUUACUCUCUUUCUCUCUUUCUUUCACUUUCUCUAUCUCUCUCUCCCUCUCUCUCUUUAUCUAUAUCUUUCUUUCUCUCUCUCUAUCUCUCUCUCUCUCUCUCUCUCAAGGCUGGAAAACCUGGUGAGUACAUGGGGUUUUCAACCCACACUAAUAUAAUUUAUCUUUUUAUAUAAUUCACAUGAAAUAGUUAACCUGAUUACCCAGUCUUGUUACUCUCUCUCUCUCUCUUUCUCUUACUCUCUCUGUAUCUCUCCCUCUCUCUCUCUCUUCCUCCGUCCCUCCCAAGGGUUCUAUCCUAAGGGUUACACGUUGAUAACGUAACCCAAGAAAAAUAAAGUACUCAAAUGAAUCCACGAUCCAUACUCUCAGUUUGUUUGAUUUCAUUAACACCUAAACAUUGCAAGUCUGUUAGUGUUCCAUUGGACUGUCUAGAAUAGUCUGUGGUCGCCAUGAAUACUCUGCUUGAUAACUGAUCUCUGUUGGGCAUGGUCUCUUUUACCUAACUCCAGCAUGGUCUGUCACCACUAUUCUAUCUCUUGUAAUGUUUCUCAUCAUUAUUCUAUCUCUGGUAUGGUUUCUCACCGUUAUCUCUUUUCUCUUAUGGUCUCUCACCGUUAUCUCUACUCUUAUGGUCCCUAACUAUUAUCUCAUUUCUCUUAUCUCUUUCUACCGGUCCUACCCAAUAAAUUAUGAGUAUGGUAAAAUACAUAUAUGAUAUUUUAGAAAAAUCAUUAUUUCAUGUAACAUAGAUAUCAGAAACUCAGAUAAUAAGUACAUAAAGCAUUUAGAAAAAUUAAAUACUUGGUAUCUAUGUGUAAGCUGAAGGUAACUAUGCACUCACCUGACAAAGGCAGGUGACUCAAAUUUAGGGUAGCGCCUCGCCUUAACACCUUAGAUAUAUUCCCUUGACGUGACCUAAGUAUGAUUAAUACAGAAUCUUAUUCUAAUGAUCCUGGUGACUAAUAAUAGUCUAGAUCCUUACUAAUCCCAAUGUCUACAUCAAGAUAUAUCAAGUAAGGAUCAGUCAGGCAGGACAGGUGGGAGGCAGGAUCAUUUAUGCAUAUAGAUUUUUUGAAAUCCAACAACCAAGCCAACAUGACCAUUCUAUACACCUCUCCCGUAACUAAAUCAGUCAGUAUAAGGACUUGGAAUAUUACUGAUAAACCUUAUUUAUAGGUUCAUAAUAACGACUUAUGACUAAAAUAUAAGUUACACUGAAAAGACUAUAAUGUAGCUUAACUUAUAGAGAUUUUCGAUGAAGAACAGAACCUAAACGGAUAGAAUACUGACUCGGAAUCUCCUACUCAAAGGUUACUACUCGGAUGCGUACUCAGGGGAGUUGCAGGGCUUCGACGCAGGCCGAAAACUAAGGGAAAAUGGCUCUACAGGGGAGAAUAUCGAGAGAGAGAGAGAGAGAGUGUGUGUGUGUGUGUGUGUGUGAGAGAGAGAGAGAGAGAGAGUGUGUGUGUGUGAGAGAGAGAGAGAGAGAGAGGUUCUAAGGGAUGGAUGUAAGGAACCUAUAUGGGAAUGAACUCUGUCUAUAGGACUUGGAAAUGCAUGUUGGGCACGUCAUCCUUGUUCGCUCCUCCGGUUGUUUGCUAUGUGUCGCGAUAUUUGUGGUCCACCUCACCACCUUCUAGAAUGUGACACGUGUCACAAAACCAUGGUGCCAUAUGUCCGAUUUUCGUGGAGCCAUGCCACCUUAACUCUUGGAAGAGGGGAAUGGUUGACUUGCCAUGUGGUGCUCUCCAAUUUCGCCAUGUCAUCAGUGCACGUCGGGCACUUCGUGCGCCCAGUUUUCCUGAUUUUCAAAAUGGGAUAACUUCUUCAUAUGAACUCCGUUUUUUACAUUCUUCAUAUCCCCGAAAAGCACUCAGCAAGAUCUACAACUUUCUUUUAGAUCACAAUAGUUAGUUCUUAAUCUAUCAGAAAUUUAUAUUUUUGAUAGGCUUAGCCUAUUAGAGAAUGUUAUAGAAAGCAUAACUCCAACAUACUGAUUUCAUUCUUGAUGUUCUUUAUAUCGACGGAUUCCUAUUGAAGAGUUAUUCAAAUCUCGUUUAGAUUAUAUUCCUAAUAAUCUACCAUUCUAAAAUUUGAUGUCGGUGUGCAAAAUGUUGCGAUGAAUCCUUAAAAAUCAUAACUUCCUCUUAUGAAGUUAGGUUUGGACGUGCUCUAUAUGUAUGAAUUCGCUUUUCUGAAUACUACGAAUUUAGUUUUAGAUCACUUAGGCUACUAAGCAACCAAUCUCCAAUUCACUAUUUACAACAUAUGGUUCGAACGCCGAACUUCAGGAGAUUGUAACUUCUUCACUCGAAGUAGGACUUGACUCUUGAGCGUUCUUUAUAUGUCUGAAAUCCUCACCACAUAUACUAUAAGUUGGUUAAGAUUAUUUACCCCAAAUAUUCUCCUAUUUAAAAUUCAUUAUUAUGGCUUAUUAUAACUUAUUUGUCUAGCCUAAAUUUACGAGUGUUACAGCUCGUGCGGUGCUAAAAAAUGGUCUACCAAAAAUUAUGGGAAGGUCUUCAUCUUCUUUCAUGUCUAAUACCACAAAGUCCACUGGAAAAAUAACUUUUCCAACCUUCACCAAUAAAUCCUCUACAAUUCCGCAUGGACAAUUGAUUCAAUGAUCCGUUAUUCGAAUUGUCAUUCUUGUGUUUUGUAGCCUUGGCAGUGCGAGCUUCUUAUAAAAGGAAUAGGGCGUUAGGUUUGUGCUAGCCCCUGAAUCAGCUAAAGCAUUUAUUGAAGUAAAAUUCCCGAAUUCACAAAGUAGAGUUAAUCGGCCCAGAUCUCCCAUUUUGUUGGCAAUCCUUCACUGUGAGCGACAGAACAUAAUUCAUUAAACACAAUGGUGGAUACUUUUUCCAACUCCUUUCGAUUUGUUAUCACAUCCUUUGCAAAAUUUGGAUGUUUCACCAUUGAUUUGAGGAAUAGAGCAUUGAUUGAAAGGGAUAGCAUUUGUUCCAUGAAUUAUUUUCUACUCUGGCUCUAAUGACUUCUUGAGGGCUCGAGAUGGAUAAGGCAGUGGAGGCUGAUAAAGUUUUGAAAACGAAGAAUUUCCAUUCUUCAAUGGCCAUGACGUAGUCGCGUGGUCGCGCAUGCCAUAGGAACUAGGCGGAGACUUUUCUUGAAUCAACUUGUGGUUCUCUCCUUCCGACUAUGGAUCAGGUUAUUCGACAGCAGUAUCGUGAAUCAAUAACGACUCAGAAUCAGCCUCUUUUUCAUUGAAUAUCGCCAUAACGUGAGAUUGUGGAUUUUGAUCGGGAGUUUUGGGUGGUAACCACUCAUUUACAAUUUUGGUUAAUGGACCCAAUUGAGUCUUGGUGUUCUUAAUGGCAUCCUGUUGGUUCCUUAUUGUAGCGUCAGCUACAUCAUGUCUUUUCUCAAAUAUGACUGCAAAACGUGAAAGCAUUGACUCGAAAUCUGAUUUGUUCUCAGACGGUGGUUGUUCUUUUUGAUUAAAAAACUCGACCAUUUUGCCUAAACUUCUCGUCCUUUUGUUUCUUGUAUUUAUCAUAAGGCAACCACUCCUUCUUUGGUUUCCUCCAAUAUUCAUCGUAUCGAUCACCAUUCAAGUAGCAUACUUGUGCUUUCCUGGUCCCAUUCUCAAGGAAAUCAAAUACUAGAACUAAAACAUGUAAGGUUUCAAUUUAUCAACACUAGAAAACCAAUAAUAAUUAAUGAUAAAACCGAAAUUAACACAUGGUUCAAAGGGUUCAUCUUCACCGAAGAAAGUAAAAGGGUUUUAGCCCAUUAUGAUAUCAGAAGAAAAACAUAAACUCAAUGAAAUUAAGAUUAGACAUAGUUUAUGCUAGCAAACCGAAAGAAUUAAUGUUGGUUUCUUCAAGAUCUCUUCAACAAUUUAGCUCCAAUCAGUUUCUGAACUUCAAAGGGUUUUCCAAGGGAUAUUUGUCGCAACACUUCUCCAGAAAAUUUUGCAGAAGUCCCCUCUAUUCGACCUAAACUGAAUAUUUAUACUUUCCUAAAAUAUGCCUCCCAUGCAGUGGGGAAUAGGCUCCACGUCGUGGCAAUCUGGUUCCAUGCAUAUUCUCCAAGGCAUUCACAUGAUCGUGAAUGUUCUAAUCACCACUGCAUGGCAUUAAUUCCCCACAUCGUGGGCUUCAGAAAUCUUAACUUCUUUGACUUCGAAUGUCUUGGCACACUCUUUCCUGCUUCCAGCUCGACAUUUGCUUCCUUUUAAUCCCGAGCAGCUCUUUGUUGCUACAAAAUAUAUUUUAAACAUAUUAAGUACCUUUUGUCCUUGAAUAAGCAUAAUUUUAGCUAAUAAUAUUAAGAUAAUGCACAAAAUAUAUGAUUAAAUAUUCACGUAUCAAAACCUUAUCCAUCACCUCCCUUAAAUAGGGGACAACCCUGAAAUUAGGGUUUUGGCUCACAAGGCUGUCAUUUUGUGGCCAACAUGUGUUCACUUCAUGACAACCAAAAUGGGAUGUCCGUUCAUUGGGUGACACACAAGUGCUCAUAUCGUGACUAUGGCUAAAACCUUAAAAGUUGAUUACGAACUCAGCAGAAGUGCAUACCUUAAAUUAUGUGUUACAAUUCUCCCCCACUUGAACUAUAUUUCAUCCUCAAAAUCCUCAGUUGCAGAUAGUUCUGGGUAGUGCUUGUACAUUUAUGAAUCAGGAUCCUAAGUCCACUCAGAACCCUUCCAAUGUUGCCACUAAACCUUGACUAGGGGAACCACCUUAUUGCGAAGGCCUUUGUUUUCUAUCCAAAAUAGCCGCCGACGUCUCCACACAAUUUAGGCGCUCACCGACCUGAAUGUCAUCUAAAAGAACUACCACUAAUCAUCAACCACACACUUUCGAAGAUGAGAAAUAUGGAAGGUGAUAUGAAUCUAACUAAGCUCCUUAAGAAGAUCCAAUCGGUAGGCCACCUUACCUAUCUUGGCCACUACUCGAAAAGGCCACUUUCCAGGGUGAUACCUUCAGCAAAACCAUGCCCCUAACAUAAAAGUCCAACUCGGACCACCACCUAUCGACAUAACUCUUCUGCCUGCACUGAGCUGUCUGUAACCUCUACUUGAUCUAUAUGAUAAGCUUUGUCGUUUGGCGAACCACCUCAGUUCUCCCCAUGACCCUAUGUCCAACCUGUCCUCAACAAACCGGAGUAUGACACUUCCUCCCAUAUAAAAGCUUAUACAAAGGUGCACAAAUACUAGAAUGAUAAUUAUUAUUGUAAGAAAACUCGGCUAGAGGGAGUUAAGAAUCCCAACUCCCACCAAAAUAAAUAACAAAAUCCCUUAACAUAUUAUCGAGUGCCUGGAUAGUCCGCUCACUCUGACCAUCAGUCUGAGGGUGAUAAGGUGUGCUGAAGUGCAGUAUUAUACCCAACUCCUCAUGAAACCUCUACCAAAAUCGGGAAGUGAACCACACAUCAUGAUUGGAUACGAUAGAAAUUGGUACACCAUAGCGAGGAAUGAUCUCACACACAUACACGUUGUCCAACUUCUCGGCCGAAGAACUCUUCCGAAUGGUAAGAAAACGGGUACUCUUGGUCAAUCGAUCAACAAUAACCCAAAUGGCAUCAAAUCCAUUGGUCAUUCCCGACAACUUGGUGAUGAAAUCCAUCGUACUCUGCUCUAAUUUCCGCAUGGAAACCUCCAAUAUUUGUAACUUUCCAUGCAGUUUUUGGUGCUCUUCCUUAACUAUCCGGAAGUUCAACCAUCUAUGCACAUACAAGUCUCAAGUCUCAUUACAUUUUUGUGUCUCAAAGAUGCACCUCCUCUAAUAAUAUAUGUCAUACCCCACCAGAAACUAGGACCCAAAACCCGCCCACAUUGGGUUAUAAGCCCUAGACUAUCAGUGAUAAAUCUACCAAUUUGGCCACCGGUCUUCUUCUUCUUCUAAUUCUCCCUCUUGAUUCCCUUGUCCUGAGCCUCCUUAAUCAAAUCCAAGAGUGGUGAGUCGAUGGUCAUCCUCAAAUAGACUCCUCGAACAGGAGUACUAUCCACUUUACGACUCAAAACGUCGGUGACCACAAUGGCCUUCCCUAGAUGACAAAUAAUCUCACAAUCAUAAUCCUUGACUACAUCAAGCCACCUGCAUUGCCUCAUGUUCAGAUUCAGCUGAUCCAUAAGAUAUCUCAGGCUCUUAUGGUCCGUGUAGAUGGUACAUCAGAACUCAUAGAGAUAGUGUCGCCAAAUCUUGAGAGCAUACACUACUGCCCCCAACUCCAAAUCAGGUGUCGGAUACCUAACCUCAUGAGGCUUCAACUGCUUGGAUGCAUACGUAAUGACCUUAUCCCAUUGCAUGAGUACCACCCCCAAACAUGUGAUCAACACAUCACAAAAAUACCACAAAAUCCUCAACAUCCUCAGGAAGGGUCAAUACCAGGGUCUCACAUAAUUUUCGCUGUAAAGUGUCAAAUGCAGCUUGCUGCUCAAGCCCCUAAUGGAAAUCCACACCCUUCUUCAUCAAAUGAGACAGAGGAACGAAAAUCUUGGAAAAUCAUGAAUGAAUCCCUGAUAAUAACCUGCUAACCCUAGCAAACUCCUGAUCUCAUAUGGGACUUUGGGACCUCCCACUGCAUAACUGCCACAAUUUAGGUCGGAUCGACCAGAAUCCCGUUUUGAUUGAAGAGGUGUCCCAAGAACUGAACCUCUCGUAACCAGAACUCACACUUGGAGAACUUGUCAUAAAGCUUCUCCUGCCUCAGUACCACUAGUGACUCCUAUAGAUGUUCCUCAUGUUGCUCCCUGGUAUUGGAGUAGACCAGAAUAUCAUCAAUGAAAACAAUAACCGACCGAUCGAGCUUCGGCCUACAUACCCGGUUCAUCAAAUCCAUAAACAUUGUUGGUGUAUUGUGGAGCCCAAAUGGCAUCGCCAUGAACUCAUAAUGACCAUAAUGAGUCUGAAAUGUUGUUUUCUACAAAUUCUCUUCCCUGGCCCCCAUCUGAUGGUAAACUAACCUUAGAUCAAUCUUGGAGAAACAAGACGCACUCGACAACUGAUCAAAAAGAUCAUCGAUCUGGGGGAGUGGGUAUAUAUUCUUCACCGUCUACUUUACCAACUCCUGAUAAUCUAUGCACAUAUGGUGAGACCCAUCCUUCUUCUUCACAAAUAGAAUUGGUGCUCCCGGGGUGAACAACGCGGUAUGAUGAACUGCUUUCCCAACAACUCCUAGAGCUGGGAGGACAUCUCAUGCAUCUCUGGCGGUGCGAGGCGGUACGGUGCCUUAGAGAUCAAGGCCAAAUCAGGGAUCAGAUCAAUCUUAAACUCCACUUACCUCAUGGGAGGCACACCAGGUAACUCCUCUGUAAAAACAUAUCUAAACUCUCUAACUACUACCGCAUGUACAACCGAAUUCCUCCCCUCAACUCGAGUGUCAACCACAUAUACGAGAUAACCUGAACACUCAUGCUGGAGAUACUGCCUAGCCCUGCCAGCCGAAGAAAAAGUUGAACCAACCCUGGUACCUUAUCCAUAAACGGCAAUUUUCCCCCAUUCGGGGUUCAAACUACCACCAGCUGCGUCUUGCAAUCGAUCAUGGCUCCAAAUCUGCUCAACUAGUCUAUCCCCACGAUCACGCACACAUCCCCCAUAAGAAUGACAAUCAAGUUAAUCGGGUAGGGCACCCCGAAAAUAUCCAAAGUACAAUCACAAAAACACUCAAAUUGGAAACCUUGAGUUCAUUGGCGAAGGAAACUCGCAACGGACACUCCAACUCCCCAAUACCCACAUCGAAAUACCUACUGAAGGACUAAUAUAUAAAAGACUGACUCGCACUUGAGUCGAAAAGCAAAAGAGCGGGCAAGGAAUUCACUAAGAAGAUACCUAUCAGGAAUACAUACAUAAGCAUACAUAAAUUAACUUGACUGAGUAAUAAAUGAAUACAUACCAUUAAUGGCGUUAUACGCCAUCCCGGCAUACUCUGAUGUAUGCUGAGAAACAUGACCCAUGGCCUUUAGGGCCUCAUCCCUCCCCUGGCGUCCGUAUGUGAUCCAAAGAGUGGUCGGGGUCAGUGCCUGCACUGACCUCGCAGCAAGUAAUGGACAUUUGGCCUUCACAUGUCCAACCCGAUCACAAUUGUAACAAAUCAUGGUGCUCAGCGAUAGAGCAUGUUGACAACAGUCCCUCGCAUAAUGACCCUCCCUGCCGCAACUACGGCACCCUAUCAUUGAACGACAUACUACCUCAUGCAUCUUCCCUCACUUGCUAUAAUUGCGACCCUUAUGGCCUUUGGAUCGCAAGUUAGUGGGCUUAAACUGCUUCAUUGUUGGCUGUGACUAAACUGGGGUCUGCCUCUUCUCCCUCAUCUGGGUCUCAAUCUCAAUCUACAUCCUCCGAGAGAAAGAUUGCAACUCAAUGAAGGAACUAUACCUCUGGGUGGACACAAACUCAUGGAUCCCUGUCUUGAGCAUGCUCAAGUAGCAGGACAUUUGAACCUUCUCCGAAGCAACAUACUCAUGGCAGAAAAGGGCUCUCUUAAUAAAUAUCUCGGCGAUCUCUGUCACCAACUUUGUCGUCUUCUUCAGCGACAGAUACUCGUGGGCUAACUUCUCCCUCUCAUCCAAUGGAACAUACUCAGAACGAAACAUAUUCAUGAACUACUCCCAUGUCAAUGUGGCCUUCUUCGCAGGAGAAUAAGAAUCGGUCACCAGCUUCCACUAAUCCUUCACCCCCAAACAGAGAAGGUUCAAGGCGAACUUGACCUUCUGGUCCUUUAGGCACGAGCAUGUGAAGAAACAACCCUCUACAUCAUAGAUCCACCUCAUGGAAAUGAUUGGGUCCUUGAUCCUGUCAAACUUCAGGGGGUUCAUGUUGCUGAAGUCCUAAUACUUCAUCAUCCCUCUCCCUUGAAUACCGCAGCAGCAACGUCUGCAGUGGCUGCGAUAGCAGCAGUUUCAACAACAACAACAUAAAGCUUGUGAAAUAUCUCAAUCAUAAUGGUCUUAAUUGGCAGACCUAAAUAUCUUCGGGGUUGCCUCCUUAACUGACAUGGUAACCUAAGUGGUGAUCAUCUCGCGAAUCUCAUCGUAUAUCAAUCCUGGCCUCUCCGGACAAACGUCUCCAUAUCCUGAACCUCUAGUGAUCUUCAUACUGAAAAUAAAUUGAAACACAUUAGAAAAGCACACUAGUCCAUUACAUCACUACUCGACCACUAAAUCCUUGGAAUUUUUGACUUCCUUGAUAAACGUACAGAUCCUGUGCUUUUAGUAGUACGAACCCACACUGCCUUCCACACCUGCUCAUAUUUGUCUCGAAGGAUUGCCACAACUUCUUGGCUACAAGGCCCAAGCAACUAGGAUACACAUACAUACUACACUCACUCUCUCAAGAAUAGCUAACCAUUCCUUAUGCUAACUUCCUAAUAACCAUACUCAUUUAUAAAACUUCCACUAACCCUGCAGCCGCAUUGUGUAUUCUAAUCAUGCCUAACACUAGAUUCGAUAGAUAGUCAAAAAAUUGAUUCUACCCUAAGCCCACAACCAAACAAGGAACAUGAAAUAAGGCUAAAUCAAACAUUCUCAUGCUAUAGAAUCUUAGUUAUGUAUAGCUAGCAUGCACACACUAAGCAACCACAUUAAUAAUUUUAGUUCCAUAUAGCAUAUCAAGACGUCCCCAUAGGCUAUCAAGCAUCAUAAAUCAGACAAUUCUAUCUUGUAAUUCAUGAAGAUCCCUAGCAUAUAGUCUAUCAUUCAAUUCUAACAUAUCAUUAAUACACAAAACAAGCAUGGGUAUCUUGGGGUAUGAGUUUCCUUGGCUCCAAUUGAUUGUACACAUCACAUCCUCGCCUUAGAUUAUGUUAAAUUUAAUUAUGAGAAAAUAAAUAUUUUAUAGUUCCAUAGUUUAAGUCAGGAGUCACACAAAUAUUCAUCCAAAUCUCUCAAACCAUGGCUCUGAUACCAGCUAGUAACGUCCCAAAAAUAGUAGUAAAAUUUUCAUUUCUAAACCAUCAAUUCAUACACCCAUAUAUUCCAAAACCAACAAACUAAAAAUGUAAUUUUUGAACACCAGAGAUAUAUUAAAGUAAUCAGUGCGGAAUAAGCCAUCAGGGGAUAUAGUGCAACCAAGCUGGACCCUUCCCUUUGGAACUGGAAGUACAUGAAAAUGUUUAAACCACAAACCUUAAGCACAAAGCUUAGUGAGCUCCCCAAAAUACCACUUACAUACAUAUAAUUUCCAUGGGCUACCCUUAUUGUCUUUUCCGGAAAAUAUCAUAGGCUGCCCCCAUGGUCUAACAUCCAAGUGUCAUGGGCUACUGACAUGGUCUUUCCUUGAAAUACCAUGGGCUGCCCCCAUGAUCUAACAUCCAAGUGUCAUGGGCUACCCCAAGGUCUUUCCUUGAAAUGGCAUGGUUUAUCCCCAUGGUCUUUCAUGCAAAUCUCAUGGGAUGCCCCUAUGGUCUUUCAUACAAAUGCCACGGGCAGCCCCCGGGUUCUUCUAUGCAAGUAUCACAAAGACAAGUAGCAUCCUGCCCAAUAUAGUGAGAAGACUCACCUGACUCACGAAAUCAGCUAAACCACAACUCAAUGUUACGCAACAGAUCCAACAAUAUCAACCAUUGAGCCUCACGUCGUGACCAUCCCUUGCUCACGUCAUGAGAUACACUCAUCUCGAUUCCAACUCAUCUCGCUCUAAGUCAGCCAACUCGGUCACUGAAACCCACUCAGCAAGCAUCAUGACGUGAACCUUCCUUGGUCACGUCGUGACCACAACAAGACAAGAUAAUUGUGCAAACUUCAAUCAUCACGUCGUGAUAUCCUCAAUGUCACGUCGUGACCAUAGUCUAAGAUAACAACUUAAUGGUUUGAGUCCUUAAUCCAUUAAGUCUUCAACUCCUACAUUCCAGAAAUCUUUAAGGGGCUCCAUAGGUUCAUAAAAAUGACAACUUUAUGGACAUACAUGUUCCAUGCAUGUCAUAUACCUAACCUAGGUCAAAAGUUAAGAAAAUGACCCAAAAGUCAUGCAAGUCUCAUAAUUCACAAAAAAAAAUCCAUAGAUCCAUAAGAUAUGAUGCUUUAUGGACUCACGAGGACCAUAAACCAUAAAGUUGUCAACUUUAUUCCAUCCAUUUACUUAAAUCAAAACCAUGAACCAAAAAGGGACCAAAACAACUUAGAUCUAAGAGAAUAAACCAUAAAGGUAGAGGCUUGAAUCCUUACAAAUGGUUCAGAAUGAGAUAUCAAAGAUGUUGCUUGCUUGAUACUUGCCAUAAUUCUCCUUCUACUUCCUUCAAAGAGUACCAAAACCACCAAAGAUGAGCCAAAAUCACCAAUAGAAGCUAUAAAAGUUUUAGGGUGGGGGUAACUGUUAGGAUGUAAUUAUUGUGGUCAUUUUGUAAUUAUAAAAAAUUUGGAUGAUGAUUUACUAUAUAAAUGUGAAGCAACAGUGCAACACCCAUAAAAUUUGCGCCAAUUUAAAACAUUUUAAUCCAUUCAAAAACCAUUAAGUUAUUACAACUUGUUUUCAAAACAGUUUAAACAUCAGAGUAUCCCCAGAACCAAAUCACAAAAUCAUGAAAUAUGAGGAGCAGUACGAUCACGCCUUUACCUUGCCACGAUCUCUUGAUGUACCUGAAACAAUACACUGAAACUGUAACCCCGAAAGCUUAGUGAGCUACCCCCAAAAUACCCAUACACCUACAUCCAAACACAUACAGUAACAAAACAGCAUACUAUGGGUCCAGUCAAGCAUCAGGUUGGAAUACCCCUAGCCCUCAACCAUCGGCUUGGAAUGCCUCUGGCCCUCAACCAUUGGGUUGGAAUGCCAACAUACUAUCAGUCCGGGGCCUGCCUCUGCUCCUUCAACUGAAGCUUAAUCUCUAACUCACACCGCCUGGCAGCCUCCUGUAGCUCCAACAAAGUAUCGCAUCUCUGCGUGAGCACGAACUGCCUGAUAUCCCUCUUGAGCAUACUCAGAUACCGGGACAUAUGAGCCUGAUCUGAAGCAAACUCAUGGCAAAACAUCUCCCUCUCCGUGACAUCAUGGUGAUCUCCGUCACUGACUCCGAAUCCUGCUUCAGCUCCAAGAACUCCUGAGCCAACCUCUCUCUCUCUCAACCCGCGGAAAAUAACGAGUACUGAACAUCUCCCGGAACUGAUCCCAAGUAACUGCAACCCGCUGCGCGUCAGAAUAAGAUCCUGUAGUCAACCUCCACCAAUCCUUUGCCCCGAGCCUCAAAAGGUUCAGAGCACACCUCACCCUCCGAUCCGUAGGGCAUGAACACGUAAAGAAACAACCCUCCACAUCCGACAACUAUCUCAUAGCAAUGACCGGAUCCUGAACUCCAUCGAAAGUAGGGGGCUUCGUAUUGUUGAAGUCCCGAUACUGAAAGCCCCGACCGACUCCUCCUCCUGCCGCUGCUAUAGCCGCUGCAGUUUCCGCGGCAGUCGUCUCCGCAAGAGCUACAUAGCGCUCAUCAAAGCACUCAACCAUGGCGGUGUUGAUCAACCCAAACAUCUCCGACAACUCAGCCUGGAACAUAGCAGCAACCUCAUCAUGCAGGAUCCCAUGAAUCCUGGCAUCCAACUCAUCCAUACUCAUCUGACCAAUGACCUUAGGUGGUAUUGACCCAUCCUGACCACCCUCUCCCGAUCUUGAUCCUGAACUGGAUCCUGCCCUGAAACACCUCGUAACCACCAUACUGAAAAUACACCACAAGAUAUCAGAUGCUCCUCAUAACAACUCGGGAACCCACUCCCAAACAAAACCCUAGGGGUUGUGACUUCCUUGAUCCGCAUAUGGGUCAUGUGCUUUCAGUAGUACGGGCCCAUACUACCUUCCACACCUACCCAUAUUUGUCACAAGUGUCACCACAACACCCCAAUAAUACAAAUAUACAGACAUAACGAGCGCUCAAUCCUCACUCCUAGAUGGGUACAAAAUAUCUCGUAACUGACCUAUCGGUCCCACACAACCCAUUCACCUAUGAAACUUCCACCAACCCUACAUCACUAGUGUAUGCUAGUCAUACAGAACGUUGGACCUUAUCGACUUUUGAAUAUCCAACGCUACCCUAAGCUCCCAAUCAAACAAGAUCAGAACAUAAGGCUAAAUCAAACAUUCUUAGGCUAUAAGAUCUUAGUUAUGUAUAACUGUGAUGCAUACACUAAACAACUACAGUAAUGAUGUCAAUUCCAUAUAAAGAGAACCCUAGCCUAGCAGGCAUCAUGUAAUCAGGCAAUUCUAUCAUGCAAUUCCUGAAGAUCCUUAGCCUAGUACUAGCAUGCUAUUCUAACAUAUCACAUAAUCAAUUACUUGUAUUGUAUUUUGGGGUCUACUUACUGGCUCCGACUGAUCGUACACUCUGCAUCCUCCUUUACUUAUUUUUUUUAAACCAUUUAUGAAAUCAUUUUGAAAACUCCCCUUGAUUUGAGACUGGAUUCACACGAAUGUUUCCUCCAAUUCACUCAAACCAAGGCUCUGAUACCAACUUGUAACACCCAUAAAAUUUGCGCCAAUUUAAAACAUUUUAAUCCAUUCAAAAACCAUUAAGUUAUUACAACUUGUUUUCAAAACAGUUUAAACAUCAGAGUAUCCCCAGAACCAAAUCACAAAAUCAUGAAAUAUGAGGACCAUUACGAUCAUGCCUUUGCCUUGCCACGAUCUCCUGAUGUACCUAAAACAAUACACUAAAACUAUAAGCCCGAAAGCUUAGUGAGUUACCCCCAAAAUACCCAUACACCUACAACCGUACACAUAUAGUAACAAAAUAACAUAUUAUGGGUCCAGUCAACCAUCAGGUUGGAAUACCCCUGGUCCUCAAUCAUCGGGUUGGAAUGCCUCUGGCCCUCAACCAUCGGGUUGGAAUGCCAACAUACUACGAGUCCAAUCAUCCUACCGGAUGGAAUACUCCCGGCCCACAACCAUCAGGUUGGAAUGCCCACGUCCAUAUACCUAUAAUAACUACUAUGGGUCCAAUCAUCCUUCUGGAUGGAAUGCCUAGGCCCUCAACCAUCAGGUUGGAAUGCCAACAUACUAUGAGUCCAAUCAUCCUACCGGGAUGGAAUACUCCUGGCCCACAACCUUCGGGUAGGAAUGCCCACACUCCUACAUCUAUUCUAACUGCUAUGGGUCCAAUCAUCCAUCAGGAUGGAAUACCCUAGGCCCUCAACCAUCGGGUUGGAAUGCCCACCCACUAGGAGUCCAAUCAUCCUACCAGGAUGGUAUACUCCUGGCCCGCAACCAUCGAGUUGGAUUGCCCACACACUAUCAAUCAGGCAUGUGCACCAAUAUUAGAUAACCAUAUAACAGUCUAAACGGACAUACUAGGGUCCUAUCAUCCUCAGGAUGGAAUACCCCACAACUAGCAAACAAUCAUGUGCAUAUAUAAUAGGUAAUCUCCUACCAGCAUACAGACAGUCAGACCUAACUAUAGGUCACGAACCAUAAUCGCUUCCACUAUACCAAAAUACUGAUCUAACCAAUCAUACCAGCACAACAACCAUCCUAUCUACUAGGAUACAGAGUAAUCAGAUCACAGUGUAACUAUCUCAAAUACAAAUCAAAUGGUCAGCCUUGGUGCCUUAGACCCUUGAGUAUAGUGAGGAUAACUCACCUUGCACUUGCCAAGCUGGAGAGAUAGAAUCAAAACUCCUGAUCAUUGCAACGAACACCACCACCUAUUACUCCAAAGAAACCAUAACCAUCAGAACCCAAAUUACUGACAUACCCUCGAAAGUCAACUGGUCAACUCAAAGUCUCAGUCCUGGUCAAAGUCAACCUUCCUAGUUGACCCUACUCGCCGUGUCAACCUAGUGACUCGCCGAGUUCACUUAACUCUGAAACCCACCAUACACGACUCGACUCGGUGAGUUCCCAACCGACUCGUCGAGUCACUACGCGACUCAGUGCCUGAAACCCCAGACCAACUCACCGACUCAUCUCCUAGACUCGCUGAGUUCACUCGAAACUUAAUCGAACCAAACCCCGACCCGACUCGCCGAGUCAUCUCCCAGACUCACCGAGUUCAUACGGGUAUUCCCAUAAUUAAAAGACACAGAGCUACUCCUUUGCUCCAAACAAUAGAUCUGGGUCCCUAGAGUUCAUUAGGAACAUAAAGUUGCUGCCUUUACGUGCUUUCAUGUCCUAUAAUUCAAAAACCAAGCUAGAAAGGAACUUAACUCAUGGAGGAUGGAUUUUGCAUAUCAAUUCAAAGGGCUUUUUGCAUAUUGGAUCCAAAUAGAACUCACAUCUGGAGUUUCAACUCCAGAUCUAACUCAUGCACCAAAAUCUCAUCAUAUCAUCCCCAAACAAACCCUAAAACUCCAUGAAAGAUGGAUCUAGAAAGGAGAAAGCCAAGAUAACGAUUCAUUACCUCCAAGACGACCUCCCACUAAUGAAUAAUUUGAAUCUCCACAAAUCUCCUUGAUCUUCAAGAUCUCUUCACAAAAUCACUUAUCUAAGCUCCAAAUUGCUUCCAAGGACUCUCACUCACGAUUUAGGGUUUCUGGAUCUCAAAAGGAUAGUAAGGGGGCGGAGGGGUGAACAAUAGAUCCUUUAAAUAGGGUGUAAACCCUAAGUCUUAGGGUUUUCUCUUCCCAGCACUGAAUCGUCGAGUCAGACCACUUAAUCACAUGCUCCGACUCGUCAAGUCACAGCUCCAACUCGCCGAGUCCACCCUCCUAAUAACACUUUACACCCCUGAACUCUUUCUUCUGAACUUGGGAUGUUACAAUUCUCCCCCACGUAAAUUAGGCUUUGUCCUCGAAUUCGGCUGCAGCACACGAUUCCAAAUAUCAUUGCUACAAUGCAAUCUCCCGCCUUGAACCGACCCCCGAUCUCUACAGACAUUACUUAUCGCAUCCAAUAUGAAACCACUUCUUCCCAUGCCGAACCUUGCCAACUGAUCUAAGCCGUCCACCGGCUUCAUUCCCUUGAUAACUAUACAUAUCAACUAAGUAUCACCUGAUGAUACUACCAUAUUCCCGUCUUGCACCUACUUUCGCAGCUUGUGAAAACUGGAUACCCUAAUAAACCACUGGACUUUACCAUAGCUUUAAGCUAUCUUUCUCUUGCCAAAACUGACGACAACCCGGGUACGCGCAAUAUUGGAAACUCAUCCAGUAGUCCUCCUGAAUCUAUUGCCUUUUCUGUGCUAAGAUAACACAUCCGUCAGCGUCCAAACAACUCUCAUGGACAACCAGCUAAAUCACAUAACACUCAUACCUGGACCAAUCAGCCUCGGGCUAGAAGUCCAGGUACAUCUAUGAUAGUUCCAAUCAUCCCUUGGAUGGUAUACCCUCGUAUCCUCACACAUGUUUGGCCCAAUCAACCCUCGGGUUGGAAUACCAAACGUAUCCGGUCCAAUCAAUCAUAGGGUCCAGUCAUCCUCAUGAUGGAAUACCCAAGAUUGGAAUACCACUACAACAUGACCCAUAUCUUCCAACCAUACUUGAAACCCAAGGAACUAUCCUUGCAUCCCCCUCAAACUCCUCUAGUUCGGCACAAUCAAGAAUAGCUCAUCCAAACCUCAACAUUACGUCUAUCCCAAACAUGUUAUAGCAGGGAUCAUAACUAUCAUAAUUUCUACGUCCAUGACAUAUGGCUGGAAUACCCUCACAUGGUUCUCAGCAUAGAUCUGGGUUGCUUCCAAGUCUUUCGACCCUGCUACUUCCACUUCCGCUGAUCAAAACUCCAUCCUGGAGAUACCCAUCUCUGCCACCUCCAAGGAGGCUUGACCACAACCUUGCAACAUCAAACAUCGCCACCACAUCAAGACUUCUCUCCAUACUAAUUGCUGAAGGAACAUGCUACUAUUCUGGCACACAUAUACUCAGGUCCAUAACACACAACUGAAUAACCUAUAAAGAAUCCUCAUUACACUUGCUCAACAUAUUCGUCACUUGAAGACAGACCCACUGAUCGCUUUUUGGCAUGGCAGAAUACUCCACACCCGCUCAUAGAUCUAUCAUCCUUACUGGGUCUUCAACAAACUGGUCGCUUCAACGCGUCCCUCUAGAAACCGACAUCCAACUGCAUAAGGCGGCAUCUUAUCAAUACAAUACCUCAUCUGAGAAUUUCCAAUUCUCCCCCACUUAGAACAUUAACCACUGAUGACUUCUGAAUUCCUGAAUCACAGUUGCUCAUCCUGAUCUGGCGAUUUUCUAUCCUAUCUCUUUCUCCUGAAAGCACCACAAGAUCCUACCAUCUAUGACUCCUUAACCAAGAAUUUCCCACAAGCAUUCCCUAUGCCAUAGUAACUCAUGCACAAAGAAAAGAAACCAACAAUGCAAUCAUAAACAGAAGAUAGGGAAAAUACAUACCGGCUGAUACCUCUGGUUCUGACCCGGCCUCCCCGGUCAUAAGCUGAUAAGCAUGCCCUGGAGCCUUCGGAGGCUCUGCCCUGCCCUGACUCCCGUCAGUGAGCCUCAUAGGAAUUUCAAUAUUCAAAAACACUAAAAAUUGGGAAAUUGAGAAACAAAUAGUAGAAUCAGGGGUUACCUGCUUAUACACUCUUCCAUUUCCUCCCUCAUCUUCCAUCUCCCCCAAACCAAAUCACUUUAUGUCAACUGGAUGCUUCAAAUAAGGUGAUGCAAUCAGAGACCGUAUGCAACAAACAACAUCCUAAGAUGGUCUUCCACAGAGCCGACAAUAGAAGAGGAAGAGCGGGAAGCAGUCGAUGACGGUACCUAAAUUUGUGCACUUGUAGUAGGUCGUCGACAUGAGUCACUAUAGUAGGUGAUCGACAGGAGUCACCGUCAACGGAGGAGGUGUGACGAUGACCGAGCACAAGGACUUCUAGGUCUCUUCAAAACCCCAAAAUAAUGGUUGGAAAUUAGAUCGAGUUCAAGAAUUGAUACCAAUUUCUGAUUUGAGUAUGCUUUUUGAGAGAUGACUCAUCGUGGAAGAAGUAGAUUAGAUGAGAUCGGUGGUGGGAGAGCAAGUUGAUGACUGUAUUCAUCUCCAACGAACAUGAGUAUUGUUCGUACUUCAUAUGGAAAUGAUCGAAUGCCUUUUUGUUUCAAUGGAGUUAGAGAAAAGAGGCAGAGGCGGUAGUGGUUUUCUCGAAGAAGCGGAGGCGAUCAAGAGAAGAACACGUAGCAAUGGAGCCAAUGACUCACGCACCCAAACAAUUAGCCGAUCAACGGUAAAAAGCCAACCGGUAAAAUAAUAUAAGCCGAUAAAAGAUAAUUAGCCACCAAAAUUUUUACUGAACCGAUUGAAGACAACAUUCAUACGAAUGUUUUCAAUUAAUUAUAUGAUAAAUUAUUUUAUAUUUUAUUUUCAUAAUGAAGGAUGUCAAUAUUAGCGGAAUAUAUCAAUAUUAUUUUUUAAUACUUUUAUGUAGACUUAUUAUAAAUAUCAAUAUUAUUUUUUAAUACUUUUAUGUAGACUUAUUAUAAAUAUCAAUAUUAUUUUUUUAAUACUUUUGUGUAGACUUAUUAUAAAUAUCAAUAUUCUUUUUUAAUACUUUUAUGUAGACUUACUAUAAAUAUCAAUAUCAUUUUUAAUACUUUUAUAUGGACUUAGUCUUAAUAACGACAUCUGGUGACAAUCCCAUUUGCAGUAAAAAAAAACAUUUAUAUGCGUUGUAUAUCAAUCUUAUUUUUUAAUACGUUUAUGUACAUUUGAUUAUAAGCUACAAACGAUUGACAAUCAUAAUUGCAUUUUUUAUAUGUAUUAUCACCAAACAUAUUUAACAAACUAAAUUUUUAUUUUUAUUCAUAAAAUAAAGUGUUUAUACAAUAACUUUUUUUUAAUAACUAGAAGUAAAUAUAAAAGCAGAAUUUAUAUUUUUUAUUUAUUAUUUCCACAAAAACAAUAAUUGUUUCUUGAUUAAAUAUAAGAGUUGAUUUUAUUUAUUAAUAAUCAUACUACUAAUAAUUAUUCAAAAUGUACCAAAUUGAUAAAAUAUGACCCCAUAAGGGAUGUGUGCGUGAUCGUGGAGAUUGACUGAUUGAGCAGAUUUGAAUCCAUGAUCAAUUGCAAGAGGUAGUUGGUGGUAGUUCGAACCUCAGGUAAGGAGAACUCACCAUUUAUGGUGAGGAUACUAGGGUGGGUUCAACUUUUUGUUCGGCUGUGAGGCUAGUCACUAUCUCCAAUAUUUGCUCGGGUUAUAUUGGAUAUGUGGUUAACACUCUAGUUGAGGUGAAAAACUCAAUAAUAAUAACUAAAAGUAAAUACAAAAGCAAAUUUAUACUUUUUCAAUGAAGUUAUGUUUUUAGUUAAUAUGUAGUAUUUCUAGUUUUUCUACGUUUCACAAAAAAUUUGAUUUAUAUAUAGUUAUUCAAUGUUUUGAAAGAUACAACAUGUUUAAUUUAUAAACAAAACAUUAUAUACUCUAUCAUAACUAUUUUUAUAUUUUAUUGUCAAUAUGAAGGAAUAAUUUUAUGACUAGUUGAUUAUCAUUAUCAUUUUUAAUAAUUUUAUGUCUACUUGAUUAUAAAUGACGACACAUGAUAACGUUCACAUUUGCAAUAAAAAGACUUAUAUGUGUUAUUGUAUAUCAAUGCAAUUUUUUAAUAUUUUGAUGUAGAUUUCAUUAUAAACUAAGGAAGAACCCUGCGGGAGUUGCGGAGUUGGAAAGCAAUCACAUUUUCACAAUUCCAUUUACAAAAUUCUCGUAUGGCAUAUAUACAUCUCCUGAAAUUAAUUUGUUCCUAAACAGACCACCAUUAACUUCUAUCAUGUGCUUUUGCUCCUGUAUAUGGAUUUCAAGAAUGUGAAACAUCAAUAAAUAAUAAUUGUAUUUUCAUAGGUGACAAAUUACACUUAAGUCAUUUUCAUGUGAUGUGAUUUGUGAAAGCAAAUGGUUCAUGAGUUUCAGAGACCAAUCUAUAUCAACUUCUUAAAGCUGUUUGAACAGUUAAUAUGAGCAGAAAGAAUAGAAACAUGUUUUAGAAACAUGUAAAACAGUAGAACAUGAGAUCUUCCAGCAAGCUUGCAAUUGCUAACAAUGGCAGAAGUAGCAUACAACUAUCUCCCGAGUCCCAUCUGCAUGAAUCCGAUCAGAAAAACUUUGAGCAUGUGCACUAAAAACCAUCCUAGGCCUAAAAGCAUGGAAGAUAUAUUCAGUUGCGUUUGGUGGAAGCAUUUGUGAUAAUUCAUAUGGUCCAACCCCAAUAUGUUGGGUAGAAAAAAUAAUAACUUUAUGUUAGAAUUUAGAUACAAUAUUAUAACUUGUAACUACUAAAAGUCUAAUAGAUCUUUGUAUUUCUUUCUACCUUGUUUUUAAUGGUUCAGGUAAGUUAUUUUCUGUUUCAUGCAAUGGAAAGUGAGGAAAAAGUACAGGCAGAACAUAGCAACAUGGUUCGGGUCUUGAGUUGUUGUUUUCUAUUUCAUGCAAUGGAAAGUGAGGAAAAAGUACAGGCAGAACAUAGCAACACCACGAAAUUAAGUGAGACAAAAUUAACAUUACUGGUGGGUGUCAACUGUCGAGACCACCAAAUAAAAAAAACUAAAUACGACAACAUACAAAAAUGAAUUAUAGUAGCGGUAAUAGGGAUCGAAUCCCCAGGGAUUGAUUCGAAUGAAAUCUAUGUAUUUAGUUUCUAUAAAAUAAAUUAUAAAAUGAAGGGGGUUUUCUUAUAAUAUUAAAUGUGAUAAAAACUAUUUUGCAAAAAUAACUAAAAUGGAAAAAUACAAAAGCUAUAAAAUAAAACGUUUCAAUAUUGGGAUAAAUCACAAGUUCAACUAUUUGACAAAUCAUCAUAAUUUUGUGGUGCAAUGGGUUUAAUGGAUACUAAUUUGGUUAUAGCAAUCUAAGAAGUUUGAGAUCACAUAGACUUUUCUUAGUCAAUACAAUGGUUAAAGAAGCUCAUAACACAUUUUCUUAGUUAAAGUCACAAUUUUCAAGAAGCAUGUAAUUAAUGAAAAUUAACUAGCAUUAAGAUUUAAAAGUCACCAAAUCCAAGAGGAGUCAAAAUCUUUUCACUAUUAUGUUGGAGAAAUUACUUUCAUGAUUGUGUGAAAGGAAAGCAAUCACAAAAGCCAUUUGUUGCUUGUUAAUUUGAAGACAUAUUACGUAAUCAAGAAAUUAAUCAACUAAUUAAAUAUUCACAUAUCUAAACUCAUGAUUAAAAACAUAUGAACAUAAAUAGAUGUUCUACUAUAAAAUAUUUUCAUAGCAAACUAUCAAAUUACUCCUAAUCAAUUAAUUAUUCCAUAGAUUUACCUAAUAUUAAAAAUAAAAACUAACUACACACAAUAAUAAUAAUAAUAAUGACAAUAAAAUAAUAGAAAUUAUACCAAUACUGAUUAAGAAAUGAAGAUGAUAAAGCUUUAUGAAAUCGCCACUUCUUGUUGCUCCAAAAAACUUCAUUUAUAAUCCAAGUAUUAAUACAAAAAAUUAACCUAACCUAAUCUAAUGUAAAUAACAAAUUACAAGAUAAUAAAAUCAAUGAUAAUAUUAUUUGAAUUCCAAAAAUAAGAAAGGAAAAGAAAGGAGGAGACACCAAAGGCGCCGUCACUCCCUCUACUCCUUCUGCCGGCGAAAUGAAUGAGAUGCCCUACUGCAUCUUUUGAUUGUUGUGCAUUCAAUUCCCAGCACAAGUUCAAAAUGGGCUUCAUACUCAACUUAUAAAUUGGGCUGCUGAAGUAUUAAGUAAUGGGCUGUACAAUUGCUCUAUUGGGUUGCCAUAAAAUACUAACGUCGGCUUCAUAUUGGACUUCGUGUAUUGGGCUGCCAAAACUAAAUAUGGCAGCAACCUGCAUUGUUGCUCAUCAGACCAAAAACCCGACCAAUGUCUGAAUCAGCUCAUUUUUUGUGAGAUUCAAGAUCAACGAGUUGGGAAGAUGCUCGUAAAAUUUCAGCUAAAUCGGACAACGUUUACCCCUUCGUCUGAUCGCUUGAAGAAAGCCAGUGAAAGCUGUUAAAAUCCGAAAAAUUAAUUUAUAUCGCUUUGUUUUUCUUUUCGCUUUUGGAUUUUUCUACGAUAUUUCAAUCUUGGUUGCAAGGCAUUCAAUGUAGCUUUGACAAUGCUCCAAAAUAUCAUCUUGCUCGUACAAAUUUGUACAAAAAUAGCUUAAACGAGUAAACAUAUUCAAAACAAUAAAUCUAACGAUUUAGUGCAAAAAGAAUAUUAAAAAUGCUAAAAGUAAAAGAAAACGAUUGCUAAAAUAUAUACAAAAAACCAAGUUAUCAAUUACCAAUUUCAAAUGCACCAUAACCACCGGAAUCCAAUGCCAUUGCAUUCUCCAUUGUCUCUAUCUCCGGGAACAACAUGGUAUGGUAGGUCAAGAAAUGGACCCAACAAACUGUGAAAUUCUUGUAGCACAAAUGAACCAUUUGCUUGUACUUAACUUUUCUCCUUGUGCAGAUACGUUUCCUAAUACAAUCAGCAUAUCAGGCUUCAGGGAUUCAAAUGAUUUCUGGUUGAAAUGUCAACAUGUGAGGGAUCAGAAUAUGAAACUUUUAUGUGUGAAUCCUUCAAAGGAAUACACCAAUUGGCUGAGCAAUAAUAAUAGCAUAUUAUUAGACACAAUUGUAUACAACAACAAUAAGUGAAUCGAUUAAAGUUGAAACGUGAGGGUAAAGGAUCCAGAGACUAUAUUUUAAUGUUGAUUGUAUUAGGAAACCUACCUAUGGGCAGUCAAACUCUUCCUAAUAAAAGAGUAAAUCUUUAUCCCACAUUAUGUAGCAGAUAAAAAUAUUCAAUGAAACAAGUUCAAUUAUCGAUAUUUGAAAUUGAAGCACACUUUAACUUUUGUUUGUUUAUUGAGACAUUUAACCAAACACUUAUUAUUCAUAGUGCGAAAUACAUUCAGUGAUUCCAGAGGUCUUGUUGCCUUCCCAAGUGCAUCAAGUGCAGCAAUGUAAAUAUUUAUGUGAAAGUAAGAAUUUAAUAAUAAUAAUAAUAAUUAUUAUUAUUAUUAUUAUUAUUAUUAUUAUUAUAAUACGAUAUAUGAAUAAUCUUUGACAGAUUAUAUAUUAUUAAGAAAACAAAAUUGAGAGAACCUUAUCCUGUUAGACUUGAAGCGUUCUCUUGCUUGCAUCCACUCAAUGACUUGAAGCACUUGCUUCCGGUUUCCAUAAUUUCCUAAAAUCUGGAUAAGUCUUAUCAUUGAAUCAGAUUUUUGCACUUCUCAUCAUCUUAGAGAAAUUCCAUUCAUUCAUUCUUCAAUCGAGAUUUGGCCCUGUUGUGAAAUCAUUUCAUCGGACAAAUUAAGGUUUUAUAAAACUGGGAAGAAAUAAAAUUCAAACUGAAAAGCAAACACGUGAUCACCAUCCUUGAUACCAUCAACAAAUUCAAAGUAAGUUAUUGAUAAGCCACAAAAUGAACAAAAACAAAAACUUAUGAAGAUAUUCACGCGGUUCAUUGUAGAGAGCUCCCUGGUUUCAAGUACAGACAUGAUGUGGUUCGGGAUGUUCUCUUUGAUGUUUGUCGGCGUGCUGGUAUUUUUGUGAAGAAAGAAGCGCCAGUGAACUUUUUGACGGACCCGCAAGAUGGAAGGUCUACACUUAGACCGGCUGACAUUUUGGUCUUUGGAUGGAUAGGAGGGAAGCAUGCAUGCAUGGAUCUUACUGGGGUUUCUUCUCUCAUUGGUUUGGGGAGCUAGGGUUUCACAGCAGGGCAUGCCACUUUAAACGUCGUUGCGUGCAAAGUGGUAAAGCACGAGAAUGCAUGUAUAGAAAAUGAACAUAUGUUUGUACAUUUUGCAUUCGAUGCAUUUGGGUUUCUUACACCAGAGGCGGUGGAACUCCUCAAUAAAGUCCAACGGGUCAUGCAUUCUAAUGUCAUAUCUCCUAGAUCCACAAAAGUUGUUUUCAAAAGAAUUGGUUUUGCUAUCCAGAAAGGGCUAGCGGCGCAGCUUGUUGCCCAUUUGCCUUCAAUCGAUAUGUAUUGAACUAAAAUCAUAGAUAAACACAUCUUAAAUUAUUGUUUCUUUUGUUAAAAGGAUAAAAGGUAUCAGUAAAGUUGGCAAAAAAAUGAAUGAACAGAAACAGAUUGAGCAAAUGGAGACAUAAAGGCUCUUAGUGACCUAACCUUUAUCAAGAUUGGCAAUUACAAAAUCAGAAACCUUGAACCCUGAUUUUUCCUUACCAGAGUCAGGGAAAUGUAACCGCCUCGCGACAGCGCCAGUAGCGACCAGCAAUAACAUAUUUCAAAUCGGUGAAUAUUUUGAAAGGAGAUGAUGAGAAAUCAACUUUAGUAACAGUUUCGAAGAAGAUUUCAGUAUCAAACCUAAUUGAUUGACGAUGCCUUUAAAGAGAGACGAUGGGUUUUUUUGGAGCGCGGUGGAAUCUUGUUGGGAGUCGCUGAUGUUGGAGGAGGAACAAUCAAGAUAGGAAAGUAGAAGGGGAGUGGUAAGGUUUAUGUCAAAGGAUGGAUAAUGUAUACAGAUGAAGGCGCUGGGAGAUACCUAGAAGGAGCAUCGGUGAAGAAAGGAAGGAAUGGAGAUAUGAUAAGCAAUAGGCGAUGAAGGAAUUAGGUGGUAAAAGAGAGAAGAUGAGACGUUUGGCAAAUGACCAGUGGGAGUCACAUGACAGCCAGCAUCUUAAAACUGAAUUAAUUCACACUAAUCCCAUUUUUAUUGGGUCAACGGUGGGCAACACGUAGAUGAAGUGAAGCAGAUAACAAAAAAAUAGGUAAAUAAAUAAAUAAGUAAACCACAAAAGAAAAAAGGAAAACGAAAAAGCAAAAACCCACCGUUAGGACGCAAGAACUGUGCACCAAGGAGUUUAGAAUUAGUAUGUAUAUACAUGACAUAUCAUUAAAAAUCAUCUUUGCAAUAUAUAUAUAUAUAUAUAUAUAUAUAUANNNNNNNNNNNNNNNNNNNUAUAUAUAGUGUUAGGUUCAUAUGUUUCUUAUAUUUAUUGUGUGUUACAAUGCACCAAUAGAAAUUUAGUAAAAUUAAAUAAUUAUUUAUUUAAAUAAAGAUAGAUAUUAAAUUACUUUCAUAAUUGUGUGUAUAUUAAAUAAUAUCCAUAAUUCUAAUUCUCUUUUUUAUGGAAACUAAUUAAAUGUGUCAUUAAUAUCAACAUAACAUUCCUUCAUAAUGAAUUCACAUCUAGGUUUUAUAUACGGGUUCGUACUUUGUUUAUGGAUCCACUAGUCCGACUUGAAAGAGUAACGGACUUUCGACUUUGUUCACGUUUAGUCACUAAACUUUUUUAUAUCUAUUUGCCACUGAACUAUUGAAAUUGUUCACAUUUUACCCUUUCGACUGGUAACAACCGGUCAUAAGGGUAAAAUGUGAACAGUUUCAAUAGUUCAGUGGCAAAUAGAUAAUGAAAAAAAAUUAGUGACUGAAUGUGAACAAAGUCAAAAGUCCAUUGCCCUCUAAAAAAAGUUCAAUGAAAUGGGUCAAUCACCUUAAGGGCCCGAAUUGUUUUUUUUAGGUCAAAAAGGUUCCUAGAAGGAAGGAAACAAUUAUAUGAAUUAUUUUUAGUCUCCUCUUAAAUAAGAAAACAAUUUGGGUUUCAUUGGCCAUGGUUAAUGCACUUAAUUUGGAGUUUGAGUAGUUUGAUGUCAAAAUUGCAUUUUUCAUAGUAAAAUUUUAAAAAAAUGUUAUGUCACAACGAGAUUGUUAUGUCUCAACCAUAUCGGUUCCUUGAUGAUAAAAAAAGAUCAUGUCCUUGUUAAAGAAAAUUCUAUAUGGCUUAAAAUGGUCUCCAAGAUAAUGGUACAAAAGAUUUGAUUCAUUUAUGAUUUCUCAUGGCUAAUUGGCUAUGAUCGAGACCAAAGUGAUAAUUAUGUCUACUUGAAGAAAUUGUACAAUGGCUCCUACAUAUAAUUGUUUUUAUACUUGGAUGGCAUUAUAAUUGCAGCUAAGAAUAUGGUUAAAAUUAAUGGCUUGAAAGCUUUAUUGGAAAGUAAGUUCAAAAUGAAAGUAGUAUGUUCCUCGGGGGUUGCUCCAUACAUAGAUGCUACCACGAAGGCAUUGGAGGCAUGAAAAGUAAGUUCAAAAUGAAAGUAUUAUGUUCCUCGGGGGUUGCUCCAUACAUAGAUGCUACCACGAAGGCAUUGGGGGUUGCUCCAUACAUUUAUUAGAAAGUAAGUUCAAAAUGGAUUAGACACGACUGUAUGGAAUCUGCAUGUUAAGGACUCAGCGAGUUGUUCUUUGGACUCAACGAGUCGAGUCGUGAGUCCCCCGUCUUUCCUCGAUUUGUGAGUUCAAGGUGAAUCAGUGAGUGGGGAAGGGACUCGGUGAGUUAAUGUCAGAGUUAGUAAUGGAGGGACUCGGCGAGUCCUGUAAACUGAAAGUUGACUUUGACCGGGGAGUUGACUUUGACCAGGGGUAAAAUAGUCAUUUUACCCUGAGGGAAUUUAUCAGUACCUGAUCUAGUGUUUUUGGGAUUUGUAGUCGGACAGUUCCGGAGCAGCAGUCAGCCAGUUUUAGAGUUAGCAUCUCAGCAGCCAGCGUUACGAGGUGAGUUUUCCUUCCAGUAGGAAUGGGUCUACGACCACAAUGCCAGCCCGUAUAGUUAGCAGUAGUUCCGGACUUGGCUCCGAUGCAGUAGUUCAGUGUGCUUGAUGUCUUUGUGAUUCAAGCAUGUCUUUGUGUUAUGUGUUCUAGACUUCGCUCCGAUGUAGUAUGCAGUAUAUGUGCUUAUGCUAGCUGAUAUGUUUAUGUUAUAUUAUGUUAUGCUCAGUCAGUUUCCGGACUUCAGUCCGAUGCAGGGGACAAGGUCCCAGUCAGUUCCGGAUUUCGGUCUGAUGCAGUUAGUUCCAUCCACGUCGGUCUUCUUCUUGAAGAUCCAUUUGCACCCAACGGUCUUACGUCCGGGCACAUUAUCAACCAAAUUCCAAACUUGGUUAUCAUACAUGGAUUUGAUCUCGCUAUCCAUUGCCUCUUUCCACUUUGCAGACUCCGGGCCUGCCAUGGCUUCCUUAUAGCUAUUAGGUUCAUCAAGAUUUAUUAGUGUACCAUCACUAAUAUACAUGUCCCCUUCGGUAGUAAUAUGAAAACCAUAAAAUUGGGGUUGAACUCUAACUCUAUCGGAACGUCUAAGAGGUAAUGAUUCGUCAAUUGGUUCAACCGGAGUUUCCUCCUUGGGUUAAGUGCCAGCGGUAGAGGUUCCUUCAUCUAUCGACUCUUGAAUCUCUUCAAGCUCGAUUUGCCUCCCACUGUCUCCUUGGCCUAUGAGUUCUCGCUCUCGGAAAACUCCUCUCCUCGCAACGAAGACAACAUUGUCCUUCGGUCUAUAGAAGAGAUAUCCAAAGGAUGUCUGCGGGUAGCCGAUGAAAAUACAUCGCUCACUUCGAGGUUCAAGCUUGUCGUGAGUAUCUCGUCUUACGAAAGCCUCGCAACCCCAAACCUUGAUAUGUGCCAACGAGGGAGCUUUCCCUGUCCACAUCUCGUGAGGUGUUUUGGCAACCUUCUUAGUAGGGACUCGGUUAAGGAUAUGGGCGGCAGUCUCUAAGGCAUACCCCCAAAAAGAGAUAGGUAGUGAAGCACGAC